UUGUGUUCUUGGACAUAAUACUAGAAGAGAUUCCAAUGGAAAUGCUUACCCGUCGCUCAAUGGAUUUAUGUUACUUGUAUACUCAAAACAUGAAGUUCCUAUUUGGUUCAUGUCCUCAGCUGGAGAAAAUGUUGAGACUACUUCAGAAAAUAUCAUCCCUGCAAGUUUUCAUACAAGUACCAGAUGCCCAGAUGAAAUUGUGAGAAGAAUACGAGUAUCUAC